UACGGAGGGUGCAAGCGUUAUCUGGAUUCACUGGGUUUAAAGGGUGCGUAGGUGGGUUGGUAAGUCAGUGGUGAAAUCCCCGAGCUUAACUUGGGAACUGCCAUUGAUACUAUCAGUCUUGAAUACCGUGGAGGUCAGCGGAAUAUGUCAUGUAGCGGUGAAAUGCUUAGAUAUGACAUAGAACACCAAUUGCGAAGGCAGCUGGCUACACGAAUAUUGACACUGAGGCACGAAAGCGUGGGGAUCAAACAGG
rnacentral:rRNA from 1 species